rnacentral:rRNA from 1 species
UACAGAGGUCUCAAGCGUUGUUCGGAUUCAUUGGGCGUAAAGGGUGCGUAGGCGGCGCGGUAAGUCGGGUGUGAAAUCUCGGAGCUUAACUCCGAACUGCAUUCGAUACUGCCGUGCUUGAGGACUGGAGAGGAGACUGGAAUUUACGGUGUAGCAGUGAAAUGCGUAGAGAUCGUAAGGAAGACCAGUGGCGAAGGCGGGUCUCUGGAAAGUUCCUGACACUGAGGCACGAAGGCCAGGGGGAGCAAACGGG